rnacentral:rRNA from 1 species
GAUGAACGCUGGCGGCGUGCUUAACACAUGCAAGUCGAACGGAAAGGCUCCUGCUUGCCGGGGUACUCGAGUGGCGAACGGGUGAGUAACACGUGGGUGAUCUGCCCUGCACUUCGGGAUAAGCCUGGGAAACUGGGUCUAAUACCGGAUAGGACCACAUUUUGGAUGGUGUGGUGGAAAGUUUUUCGGUGUGGGAUGAGCUCGCGGCCUAUCAGCUUGUUGGUGGGGUAAUGGCCUACCAAGGCGUCGACGGGUAGCCGGCCUGAGAGGGUGUACGGCCACAUUGGGACUGAGAUACGGCCCAGAAUCCUACGGGAGGCAGCAGUGGGGAAUAUUGCACAAUGGGCGCAAGCCUGAUGCAGCGACGCCGCGUGGGGGAUGACGGCCUUCGGGUUGUAAACUCCUUUCGCUAGGGACGAAGCGCAAGUGACGGUACCUGGAGAAGAAGCACCGGCUAACUACGUG